GCCUGGAGGCUGCAGAUGGAGGUCAACUUCUGGAGGGGCCUCCGGAGCCGGGUGCGUAGGUUCGAAUCCUACAGGGGGCA
rnacentral:tRNA from 1 species